GGUGCUGUUUGGUCCAGUGUGGGUGCUGUUUGGUCCAUGUGGGGGCUGUUUGGUCCAGUGUGGGGGCUGCUGGGUCCAUGUGGGUGCUGUUUGGUCCAGUGUGGGGCUGUUUGGUCCAGUGUGGGUGCUGUUUGGUCCAGUGUGGGGGCUGCUGGGUCCAGUGUGGGCGCUGACAGCAAUGGUGGACAGAGAGCUGGGUGAGUGCCAUGACGUGCGGAGGGUACACAGUGAGCACUUCAGGUGCGGAGGUCAGAACAGGUACAUGAACUGCCUUCACCACUCAUCUUAUUGACGGAAGUGAGCAUCACACUCCGGGAGGAAACCUGCUUGGGCAGGUGGGGUACUUGAUGUCGUCACUGGCACAUGAGGCAGAAAGGAGAUCUGGAGACUGGGUGGGAGAAUCCAGUGGGCAUGCAUCCCGAGGCCUUCCCUCCUUGCUCUUCUGUAAGGUUCCCUCAGGCAUGUCUGGCUUGGCAGUGGUGUCCGAGGCUGGGCUUCACGGCAGGCUGCCUGGCUGCAGUUUGGCCUGGAGCACCUGUGCCCUCCCUCAGCCGGCACCUAGGUGGCUCAGGCUUCUGGGGGACUUGCGAUGACUGUCUCCAUCCCGUCCCCUC